UAGAAGAAUUACCAAGCAGGUAGAAGAGGUUGCAUAUGAUAAAAAGUAUUUUUUCCAGAGACUCCCAACUGACUUAGUGUCCAGAACUUCAGCCAUGAAAGAAGCUGAGAAACUCUGAAAGGAGUAAAGAGUGCUCUAAAGAACACCUACACUGGGACUGAGGGAGAGUACCCAAGGGAGAGAUAAAUCUCAAGGCUUGGAUUUGGACCUCAUUGGAGAAGCAUGUUUUGUGGGAAGACUAUGUAGUUAUCUUGAGUCCUACGAAUUUCUACAUAUUUUCCUUUGGCUUUGCAAGAAAAAGGCAUUGACGGAGGAAGAAUAGGAGCGGGUUGAGGAGGACAAAGGAAUAAGGAGAAGAAGAAAGAUUGAGAGGAAGAGAGAGAGGAAGAAGGAACAAACCCACUCAAGCUGUCAGCCAACAUCAGGAAGGACUAGUGAAAAGACCUAGAGGCAAGGGCUUAAAAUAGCCUCUGGGAACCAAGACAGAAGCACAAACAUUAGCCAGUGGCUGAGUCUACUGCCAUGAGGAUUAAGAACAAAAGGAUAUGGAAUUGUUUUCCACAUGUUUGGUGAGGGGAAGAAAAAGAACAAAUGAAUAUGCGAAACAAGUGUGAAUAAAUGAACAAGAUACAUAAAAGUUAUAGAAUCUACAUGAUUGAGAUGUGCAGAUGGAUAGACUGUAGGAAGAAAAAAAGGGCAGGUGCACAUUAGGAGCUCAGGAAGAUUUUGUUCUUACGGUUUCUUCCCAAGUACAAAUGGCCAUGAUGUAACAGCCCUGCUGUAUGUAGUCAUGUACGCUGAACAAGAGGCAUCAUGUUUGAUAACUGUUUGCUGCGAGAGGAUUCAUUUCA